GACGUAGGGCGCGAGCGUUGUCCGGAUUAUUGGCGUAAGAGCUCGUAGGCGGCUUGUCGCGUCGAAUGUGAAACUCGGGCUCAACCCGCGCUUGCAUUCGAUACGGGCAGGCUCGAGUUCGGUAGGGGAGACUGGAAUUCCUGGUGUAGCGGUGGAAUGCGCAGAUAUCAGGAGGAACACCCGUGGCGAAGGCGGCGACCUGGCCGAAUAUUGACGCUGGAGGUGCG
rnacentral:rRNA from 1 species